ensembl:piRNA 21ur-4233 ncRNA
UUGGAUAGACUAAUUAGCAAG